rnacentral:rRNA from 1 species
AACGCGAAGAACCUUACCUGGGCUUGACAUGUGAGUGACCGGCAUGGAAACAUGCCUUCCCUUCGGGGCACUUUCACAGGUGGUGCAUGGCUGUCGUCAGCUCGUGUCGUGAGAUGUUGGGUUAAGUCCCGCAACGAGCGCAACCCCCGUCGCAUGUUGCCAGCAUUUAGUUGGGGACUCAUGCGAGACUGCCGGUGACAAACCGGAGGAAGGUGGGGAUGACGUCAAGUCCUCAUGCCCCUUAUGUCCAGGGCUACACACGUGCUACAUUGGCGCAUACAGAGGGCUGCGAUACCGCGAGGUGGAGCGAAUCCCUUAAAGUGCGUCUCGGUUCGGAUUGCAGGCUGAAAUUCGCCUGCAUGAAGGCGGAGUUGCUAGUAAUCGCGGAUCAGCACUGCCGCGGUGAAUACGUUCCCGGGCCUUGUA